GGAUGAGCCCGCGGCCUAUCAGCUUGUUGGUGGGGUGAUGGCCUACCAAGGCGACGACGGGUAGCCGGCCUGAGAGGGUGACCGGCCACACUGGGACUGAGACACGGCCCAGACUCCUACGGGAGGCAGCAGUGGGGAAUAUUGCACAAUGGGCGCAAGCCUGAUGCAGCGACGCCGCGCGAGGGAUGACGGCCUUCGGGUUGUAAACCUCUUUCGCCAGGGACGAAGCGCAAGUGACGGUACCUGGACAAGAAGCACCGGCUAACUACGUGCCAGCAGCCGCGGCCG
rnacentral:rRNA from 1 species